rnacentral:rRNA from 1 species
UACAGAGGUCCCAAGCGUUGUUCGGAUUCAUUGGGCGUAAAGGGCGCGUAGGCGGCUCGGUAAGUCGGGUGUGAAAUCUCGGAGCUUAACUCCGAAACUGCAUUCGAUACUGCCGAGCUUGAGGACUGGAGAGGAGACUGGAAUUUACGGUGUAGCGGUGAAAUGCGUAGAUAUCGGGAGGAAGACCAGUGGCGAAGGCGGGACUCUGGACAGUUACUGACGCUGAGGCACGAAAGCGAGGGGAGCAAACGGG